ACCGGGCAAAAAGUUCAUCUGAAGUCGUAAAAGGAAAUUGGCAGCCGUUGAGUGAACAAUUCAAUUGAAUAAAGGAAAAUCUAUUUUUGAAGUGGGGGUUCAUAAACCACAAAUCAGCCGAUUUGGACUUCAUACGGGGUCACCACACUUGCCCUGACCAUCGCUGGCCCAUGACAAGCCUUUUUUUGUGACUGACAGAAGGAAUGAGUGGCUACAGUAGUUCUAACCCUGACGAGACCAGCUGAACAGCAGACUUGAGGUCAGUUGAGGCCUAACACAAGGUGAGGCACUCUCAACUACUCAGUUUAAUCCAUUCAUGAAGAUCAUUUGGAGACUACAGAUGAGCCCAGCAGGCACCAUGUACAACAAAUCCUUGAAGUAAGAACUUUGCAGAUGAUGUGAAUGGAGGCCCUUCGGUACAUGAGUGCAGGUUCAAGACAUGCUGGUCUAAGACUGACCCAACCCAAUACCCAAGCUUUGAAUUAUGGGAAGGUCAUCUCCCAUAGAUAAUCAUUUCCUUUUUCCUUUCUGUAAUAAUAAAACAGUUUCUUGUACUAGGUUGCAUGAAUCCUACACGGGUUAUAUGCUGCAUAAA